UAUCUAAAACUCGCUCGAACCGUACAAAAAGAUAGCUAUCUAUAACUUUCUGCGAACUGCCUUUCAAAAGGAACGAAUUCGUUUUAUUUCUUUGUCGCGUUAUACUGCCCCGCGUGAUAUUGCUGCACAUUCGAUCGUUAGAUCACCGACCGUUCUAUCGCUACGAAAAUCUGCAAUUUUUACAUUCUCGAAUGUCGGCGUUUUGAAAUUUGACCUAGUCCCGUCUCACCUGCAGCCCAAUGGCGCAAAAUUGUUUCUCAAAGAACACGGAAAAAAUAUAUUAUUUCACGAGUGUUUUUAAUCGAGAAUAUGAUAAUUAAGGAAGCACAUAGACAACACCUCGGUGAGUCAUCUCCGUCCACGCUAUUUUUUCGAUGACCCACGGUUCAACCACGCACAUCGUUAAAAAGGCAUAAAUUAAAAGUUGCCUCCUGGCGGCUAGCGAAACUCGUGACUUUUGCCACGUUUUUCCGAUCGAAACGCCUCUGCUUCGUCGCAAAACAAACGUAAUCGUCGAGAAUAUCGUUUCGUGAAAACAAACUGCAGUACGUUCUUUCGCCAACGGAUGCAUAUACAUAUACAUAUAUGUAAUAUGUGAUAUAAAGCGUCGUCUUUUCGAACGAAUACUUUUCAAACGAUGAUCGUCCAUCGACAAAGAAUCGUGAAUGCAACGAAUACGCAGAGCUCUAGUGUAUGACGUAUAGGCACGAUAUAUCAAACACUUGGACCGGGUCCCAGCCUUGAGGGUUUAUUCUAGUAACACGAGGGUUUCCUAUUCGGAUCUCAUGGUUCUCGAUCGCUCCUCAUCUAACGGAUGAUAAUGAUUCGUCCCGAGAGUACUCCGAUUCCUGUGCCCGUUUCUUCGUAAUGUUUCAAAGAAGAAGACUCGAGUCGUACCGCGUAUUUCAACGGAUGCAGCCCGCCACCCCGUUGAAACCUUGUAUAUUAUUGGUUUUGCGUUUCACGCUGGGGUGCCAACAGCUUAGGCUAGAACCUUGGCUACGAGAAAGAGAGCAGUCGCGGGUUCCACGAGACCCGUGCCGAAUGACAAAAACCUUGCCUGGUUAUGCACUUGUACGGAUUGUGCGAAUACGUAAAAUCCAUUCGACUUUACACGCGUUCGACGCAUAGAUCUUAUCACGACACUCGUCUACGGACAUUCAAAGAUCUAUUCAUAUUUACGGAUCCGAAGAUUUUGGGAUUUAUGAGUAGCAUCCGAAAUUCUUGAUACGACACGGUGACAGCCACCCAGAUAUCGAGGACUUACUUAUUUAGCUUCUAGGUACCGAUACGUCGAGCUCGAAAUUCUUGUCGGAUCAAACGAAUACCGUGAACCCGCGAAUCUUUUCGUAAACACGUGCUACGAGACUGUCCUCACGAAGCUAAUGCUAUUUACCGUGUUAUUCGCUCGUAUCUCCGUACGUUUCACGAAACCAGCCGCACGAUACGACGCUUGAUAUCUGCUCGUAAAUGUCCCGAUAAAAAAGAUCGCUGGCGAGUCGUGGCAUGUUAAUAAAUCUCGCGGUUCAACGAACCGCUACACGUAUUUCGCUAUCGGGAUUCGCGUUUCUUGCUCGAUCGCGGCUGAAUCGUAGACGCAUCGCGUUUCGAUGCGCAAAGAAAUAUAGACCCUUCAGAACAGUGAUCUAAUCGUAAGGAAAUGAAAUGGAAUUUUGAAAUAUAUCAGAAAACGCAUGCGUUGUGACCACUCUCUCGCAAGAAUUUAUUUGUUUGAUUGGUUAGAAAACACUUCCGCCAUAAUCGUAGACUAAUGGAAGCAGCAUUCUCCUCAUUUUUCCAUUCUCUUCCAUUCCCCAGUAUAUUCCCUCGCGUGGCAAGAAUACGCGUGACGAGGAAUGAUACGGCAUUAAAUUCGAAGCAGACAACCUGGCACCGCUAGACUCGCUCUCUGUCCGAUGCACGUGUUCCAAGCGGAUACUCUCGCGUGCUCGCACGUGUACGCUCUAGCCUUAUUUUCCCUGCCGCGUCAAAAUCGAAAAUAAAAAGCCUUUUCUGCGCUGGAAAAUUUCCCAUUAAAAUAGCUCCAAACUGUUCUUCGAAUUUAUUUAUUAUAUACAAUAUAAUGUGUAAUGAUCGCUCCAACAGAAAUUUACACUUCGCUUAGUAGAAUGCGCUUCUACCGUAACCGUGGCUUAACUCGCAACAGACCUAACAAACGUCGAAGUUUCCCUCGCAUGUUCAUUUUCACGGGCCAAUUUCGUUCUCGAAAUAGCCGCUCUCUUAAAUCUGCUAGCUUCUACGCAAGUUAUUCUUGGUCCAAUAACAAACAUUGCCGAACAGUGCAGGCGCAACAAUGAUUCUUUUCGAUCGUUCGCGAUGGAGUAUUCCAUCGAAUGCAGAGAAACGGCAAGAAGAAGGAAAUGGUACUAAAAACAGCUGCGACAUAAUUGUUGGCCGCAAUUUACUGUCACCGUGAAAAUAACGUUGGUGCAGAGCGCGGAAAUGCGGCGCGAGAAAAUAUGAAACGCAGGAAAAAAUGUUGGGAGAAAAGCUUAACAGCCGCCUACUGAAAUCAUCGUAGUCGCUUGACCGUGACAAAUCGAUGGUUCGAUAAGGAAUUACGAUGCGUGAAAAUCGUAAGUGAAAAUCCUCGUCCGACGAUGUAUCUCUGAUGAGAAUACACUUGAUCACCACCCUCGUUUCAACGGAGUAGAAUCGAUACGAGCCGUGUAUCGACUCUGUCGGCCUCGUUUGGUCCUUUUAUGUAACCACCGACAGGACGUUGGGAAAACAGAAAGGAAAGUGGAGUGUGUCUGUGUGGGAAUAUUAGCCGUCUGUUGCUUAACCUUCUUCUCGCGCAAUUCUAUGGCGAUUCAAAGCAAAAAACUCAAGCUGCUUGCUUCGACGAUUUAGAAAACGUGGAUGGAUUUGUCGACUAUCAAACAUUUGUCCAAUCAACUUUGAUGACGAAGUAUGCGGUCAUUAACUGUAAAUAUAAAACUUUACAAACAGAAUGUCAUUCUACUGGUCAUUUAUUCGAGAAUAAAUUGUCAUUUUUCGAGGAUCAAUAAACAUUUAUUUUUAGUCGAACUAUGUACAAGGAGUUAUGUAUACACUUUUGCCAUUUUAACGGUGGUUUCUCUAUGCCGUUAUAGAAGACCUUCGACGAUCCGUCGGGAAACGAAGAAUUUUCCCGCCAAGAAGUUGGCCAAAUUUCGAGAGCGGUGGUGGUCGAUGGGGAAUAGGUCUGGUAAAUAUGAUGGGUAAUGGAAAGCUUCCAACUCCGACUUCUGUAGCUUCUGCACAGUGAUUUGUGCGAUAUGGGGUCCAACUGGGUCGUGCAACAGGAAUGAACCAAUUUUUCCGGUUUUCCGAUCAAUUGCUCGGCAUGGCUUUGGUAGCCAAAAACAACGUUGACGUUAUGGGUCGUUUCCAACAUUGUGUUUCCACGAAUCCGUACUCGAAAAUCACACCAAUUUUUGCGUACUCUGCAAAAAUCGGCCAACCGAUCAAAGCAAUAAAGAUAUCGUAGUGAACAAAUAAGGCGAAUACCGAGGAUACAUCUUUCGACGUAAAGUAAAGUCACUUCGAAAUGACAGCUCCGAAUGAGAUUCUUUCUCGCUGAAACUUUGUUAAUGGUGUUGGUAAAGAGAAAGGCACGAAAAUAGGCGUGAUUGUUUCAGCGAUAGCGGACAGCGCUGUUAGCUCGAUCAAGAAAUUUUCUUCGUUCGCGAAACGACUCGAAAGCGUGGAACAUAAUUGUUCGUGCAAAGAGUUGGCUCCAAGUUGAAGCUACGUCUACAAGAAAGUACCUCUGCGACAGAUUUUUCGACUUCCAGGCGCCAGCAGCGUCUCAUUGCUGAAUUUCCAAAUAAUCAAAAAUUUGUGGAUCGAUCCACUUCGAAACCGUACAAUCAAUCUACAGGAUCGAAAACAAAUAUAAUACAUACUUAUUAAAAUACAACUCGGAAGUUGGUCUUAUUCUUGCAUUCAUAGUAUAUGAUUGAUGGUGGAGAUAUUUUCUUCGAUUAUUUCUGCUGGCAUUAGUCGAGUUAACGUUCAGAACGGAUAGGCUGGGUUUUCCACGACCCUUGUAUCUAGCCGCGGUCCACUUCGAGGCGGACUUUCACGACGUUGAUAUGCUCGAUAAAAAAGCGCGCUCGACGAGAGAGGGAGAGAGAAGAGGUGUGCCAACGCCAAGAAAGAAUAUUAAUUCCAACCGAGCGUUUCACUUGUGCGCAUUGUUUCGUCCAACACUUUAAUUCACGGGAUUAAAAGUGACAAUUUUAGGAAUUAUUUGGAAUCGCAUCGAAUAUUUAUGCGCCAAUCAACGUCGAACGACAAUCGUUACGCUACCAAUAUUACUCACGGUAUUUUGCCCAUAAACAACACUCGGACAAACAUAAAGGUAAUUUCUUGUUUAAGUUAUACAUUUUUUGUUCGACGAAAAAAAGUUUGCAGCGUUGGUUCACGGAAAAAUCCAUCGAAAACAUCCGACAUUCCUCUGGAAAGACGUCCGCGAUUCGACGUGUCGAUAAACGAAGGCAAAUCGCAGAAUACAGAGGUGCGAAACCGAGCAUCGGAAGCCAAGGAAGAGCGCUUAAUAAAAGGCCUCCUUCGCGUUGGCACUCGGCAUCGAGCCGAACCGAUAUUCUUUAUUUAGCUGUCGAUAACCAAUCGGCCGGGUUUUAUUUAGACCCCGAUACCAUUUCUCCUCGCUUUUCUCCACACAACGAUGCUCAUUGUUACAAAGAAAUCUGCUCUACGAUUAUCGUCAACGCCCCAACUGUCCACCAUCCUCUUUCGAAACCUCUAACAAUCUCCUCGCCACCUUUCAUGCUCAGGGCCGGCAGAAAAAUAUGUUUUCGCGCAAACAUCGUGUUAUACAAAAGCAUUUAUCGAUUUACCAGCUUUGUUGUUCGCUGCUUUCAAUUUUGAUUUUAUAUUUUCAUCGUAGCGUAGAAACGCACCCCUCGAGCAGAGGAUACUCGCACUCUUGCGAAAUAUAUUUUGCAUUUCACAAAGCCUUACGAUCGUAAAGAGUCUCGCAAACUGAAACAUUCGAACUCUCUGAAAGUCCGCAAAUUCAUAAAUCUGAAAGUCUCAAAGACCGUUUUGAUCGAACGCUCUUCUCGGAAAGGAGCAAUCGAUCAAAUAUAACGCGCCGAUUAAUAACGAGCCGAUUAUUCGCUAGAACAGAACGAGCGAAACGAUCUCGGCCGCAUGGAGAAACGAGAAAUAUUCUUGGAACAAACGUGAAACGUUAGAGUAUAAGAGGAGACAAUCUAUGUAUACGAGUGUGGAGCAGCACGUGCAGCAAACGUGUUCGAAUUGAAACGAAGUCGAAGAAGAAGAAGACAGAAGAGGCGGUCUCUCGUGCGACCAACCAGUCGUAUCACGAUCCGCGUGUGUUCAAGUACUCGAUGACCCGGUCGUCUCACGUUCUAUCGAUAGUAGAAGCCACUUACGUGACGUUUUCCAGUCAGCUGACGAUACGAUGCGCGACGAUGCGUCAGCAAAGCGGCAAAAUGUAUAGAACGAUCGGGCCGGCGCGGAGCAUUCGUUCGAACAGCCAUGGUUUCUCUUUUGCUGCACCGCCAAUGUAACAGGUGCGACGAUGGAAUUGAACAUCAAGGAUAAGAAAAGUGGAACUUUGACGGACGUUACACGAUUCGCGGCUGG
rnacentral:lncRNA from 1 species